GGGGCGUUAGCUCAGUUGGUUAGAGCAGAGGACUCAUAAAAUUUGUGCACCGAGACUGGGAAACUGCUCGUGUGAAUGGCGUCAAAUUCGGUGAAAGCUAAGUCGCAAGAUAUGCCAACGCCGAGCCAAGCCGAGGUGCGAAAGCACCGCGGAAGGUGUAGAGACUAGACGGCGCCCACCUAACUCGAAAGACAUGGUGAAGGCAUAGUCCAGGGAGUGGUGAAAGCCACACAAACCAGAAUCCUUUGGUCGUUGGUUCAAGUCCAACACGCCCUACCA
rnacentral:tRNA from 1 species